AGCUGGAAUCGCUAGUAAUCGCGAAUCAGAAUGUCGCGGUGAAUACGUUCCCGGGUCUUGUACACACCACCCGUCACACCAUGGGAGUCAGCAACGCCCGAAGUCAGUGACCUAACCGAAAGGGAGGAGCUGCCGAAGGCGGGGCCGGUAACUGGGGUGAAGUCGUAACAAGGUAUC
rnacentral:rRNA from 1 species